UACGGGGGGAGCAAGCGUUGUUCGGAUUUACUGGGCGUAAAGGGCGCGUAGGCGGCGCAACAAGUCACUUGUGAAAUCUCCGGGCUUAACCCGGAGCGGUCAAGUGAUACUGUCGGACUAGAGUACAGAAGGGGCAACUGGAAUUCUCGGUGUAGCGGUGAAAUGCGUAGAUAUCGAGAGGAACACCUGCGGCGAAGGCGGGUUGCUGGGCUGAUACUGACGCUGGAGGCGCGAAAGCCAGGGGAGCGAACGGG
rnacentral:rRNA from 1 species